rnacentral:rRNA from 1 species
ACGAACGCUGGCGGCGUGCUUAACACCUGCACGUCGCACGGAAAGGCCCUGCUUUUGUGGGGUGCUCGAGUGGCGAACGGGUGAGUAACACGUGAGUAACCUGCCCUUGACUUUGGGAUAACUUCAGGAAACUGGGGCUAAUACCGGAUAGGAGCUCCUGCUGCAUGGUGGGGGUUGGAAAGUUUCGGCGGUUGGGGAUGGACUCGCGGCUUAUCAGCUUGUUGGUGGGGUAGUGGCUUACCAAGGCUUUGACGGGUAGCCGGCCUGAGAGGGUGACCGGCCACAUUGGGACUGAGAUACGGCCCAGACUCCUACGGGAGGCAGCAGUGGGGAAUAUUGCACAAUGGGCGGAAGCCUGAUGCAGCAACGCCGCGUGCGGGAUGACGGCCUUCGGGUUGUAAACCGCUUUCGCCUGUGACGAAGCGUGAGUGACGGUAAUGGGUAAAGAAGCACCGGCUAACUACGUG